GUGGGGAAUCUUCCACAAUGGACGAAAGUCUGAUGGAGCAACGCCGCGUGAGUGAAGAAGGGUUUCGGCUCGUAAAGCUCUGUUGUCGGGGACGAAUGUGCAGUAUUUGAAUAAAGUACUGCAAUGACGGUACCUGACGAGGAAGCCACGGCUAACUACGUGCCAGCAGCCGCGGUAAUACGUAGGUGGCAAGCGUUGUCCGGAAUUAUUGGGCGUAAAGGGAGCGCAGGCGGGAAGGUAAGUCGGUCUUAAAAGUGCGGGGCUCAACCCCGUGAUGGGAUCGAAACUAUCUUUCUUGAGGGCAGGAGAGGAAAGUGGAAUUCCUAGUGUAGCGGUGAAAUGCGUAGAGAUUUGGAAGAACACCAGUGGCGAAGGCGACUUUCUGGACGAUGUCUGACGCUGAGGCGCGAAAGCUAGGGGAGCGAACGGGAUUAGAAACCCCUGUAGUCC
rnacentral:rRNA from 1 species